rnacentral:tRNA from 1 species
UAGCUCAGCUGGUAGAGCGCAACCUUGCCAAGGUUGAGGUCACGAGUUCGAACCUCG